UUACUUUAUAGGGUCAAUUGGGUAAGACAGGAUUAAAGGGUGAACAAGGAAAUCAAGGUCGACGGGGACCACCUGGUCUACAAGGAGAUCCCGGAAAACCUGGACAAGGCGGACCCCCUGGACCCCCAGGUCCAUCAGGACCUUCGGGACGAGACGGGUCAGAUGGA